rnacentral:rRNA from 1 species
UAAGGAAUAUUGGUCAAUGGACGCAAGUCUGAACCAGCCAUGCCGCGUGAAGGAUGAAGGUCCUCUGGAUUGUAAACUUCUUUUAUCUGGGACGAAAACGGGAUUUUUAUCUCAAUUGACGGUACCAGAGGAAUAAGCACCGGCUAACUCCGUGCCAGCAGCCGCGGUAAUACGGAGGGUGCGAGCGUUAUCCGGAUUUACUGGGUUUAAAGGGUGCGUAGGUGGGCUUAUAAGUCAGUGGUGAAAUCUCCGAGCUUAACUUGGAAACUGCCGUUGAUACUAUAGGUCUUGAAUUAUCUGGAGGUAAGCGGAAUAUGUCAUGUAGCGGUGAAAUGCUUAGAUAUGACAUAGAACACCAAUUGCGAAGGCAGCUUACUACGUAUAAAUUGACGCUGAGGCACGAAAGCGUGGGGAUCAAACA